rnacentral:rRNA from 1 species
UACGGAGGGUGCGAGCGUUUGUCCGGAAUUAUUGGGCGUAAAGAGCUCGUAGGCGGUGUGUCACGUCGGCCGUGAAAACCUGCAGCUUAACUGUGGGCGUGCGGUCGAUACGGGCAUCACUGGAGUUCGGCAGGGGAGACUGGAAUUCCUGGUGUAGCGGUGAAAUGCGCAGAUAUCAGGAGGAACACCGGUGGCGAAGGCGGGUCUCUGGGCCGAUACUGAC